GGGAGUAUGGCUCAGUGGUAGAGUGCAUGCUUAGCAUGCACGAGGUCCUGGGUUCAAUCUCCAGCACCUCCA
rnacentral:tRNA from 1 species